GAGAGAGAGGUGUUGUGAUCAAAUCUUUGCCCUAAAUAGUUCUGCAAAGUAAUUAUCAGCAGAGCAAUUCAGUUCUUGCCUCAAAUCAUGUGUCCUCAAUAAAUUAAUGGUUAAAUUAGUACAACAAAAAGACAUUCCACAGAUCUACUUUUUUAAGUACAUUUUUCUGGCAUGCAAAGUUAAAAAAAUGCUUCUUAUUUCUGCUCACUUCAGUAGUUCUAUGGUGAGAUGUACCUGAAAAUAAAGCAGCUAUCUCCCUUGGAUUCAGAAGGCUGUACAUUAUAUUGCAGUUAUAAAUUUUACCUUUUCACAAAUAUAGAACGGGAAAAAAUCUAGCUGUUUCUGCAGACCAUCACUACCACCAAUUAACGGGGUACAGCAACAGGAGCACCAUGUUCAAAUGGCUGGUUUGGUGGGACACCAACCUCACCACCAACACCAGCAACAUGCCGGCGCUGUCUCUCACGAAGAUAAAGGACUGUAAGGAGACAGACAAAAAGGGUCAGUAUUGUCGCAUUUCCUUCCUCCAUGAUUACAUUCUCCACCCAUGCUUCAAUUUUUGGAUAGACUCCAGGCAAUGAAUCAAUCAAGUUGACCAGGAAACUGUCUGCAUAGUUCCUUCGUAUCCACAAGCUUGUGAGGGCCAGUGUAACAGGCAACUUUGCUGCAGGAUCGAUCUCUUGGGCUUGAUCAUA
rnacentral:misc_RNA from 1 species